rnacentral:lncRNA from 1 species
GAGGAAACCCGAAGUCGGGAUUCUUUCUUUCCUGCUCUGAGAGGGACCAGGUCCCUCCUCCGUAGCUUUUGUCUCUCUAUUGCCUGCGCCGUGUCCUGGACUGCUCACGGGAGUUCUGCAGGAGACGCCGGAAUAUCUGGAAGCUGAAAAAUGGAAAUAAAUGGAAAGACCAGAAUAUUGAAGAUCACUACAGAAAUCUAAGGGUCAGGCAUGGUGGCUCACACCUGUAAUCCCAGCACUUUGGGAAGCAGAGGCAGUUGGAUCACUUGAACCUGGGAGGCGUUCUGGAGGUCAGGAGUUCGAGACCAGCUUGGCCAACAUGGUGAAACCCUGUGUCUGCUAAAAAUACAAAAAUUAGCCGGGCCUCAUGGCACAUGCCUGUAAUCCCAGCUACUCUGGAGGCUGAAGCAGGAGAAUCGCUUGAACCUGGGAGGCGGAGGUUGCAGUGAGCCGAGAUCACGCCACUGCUUCUUGCUUUAAAAGAAGAGUAAAGACAAGAGUGUUGGACCAGUAUUGCAGUUCUGUAGUAUCAUUUCUUAUAAAAAACAAAACAACAAUAAUUUAUCAAAAUUGGCAUAUAAAGACUGACAACAUUCUAAUAAAGGCACAAAUUUCUUUUUAA